rnacentral:lncRNA from 1 species
CAGCUGCCUUCAUUUAUGCCCAAGUGCAGAGUGAUCUUCCUUUCAUUUUUCUGCCUCCUCCCAGGUGUGGAAGCCUGAAACUUCUCUAAAUGCUGGAAUCAAAGGCCCUUGCUUUUUCUUCCCUAACCCAUUCUCCAAGCUGUUUAUAGACCAAAAUCACAGCAAUUUUUGAGUCAAUGCAAGAUGAAAUUAUCCCAGCUGGAAACAUUGAUGUCUGGUGUGGAACCCAGAGUUGCUAGUGACCCCAACACCUAGUGCCUCUCUGUCUGUAGUCCUGCCAUCCCAAUCCUGACCCCAUAAGCCAGGCUUGGCCACCUUUGUCAACAAUGAGGACAAAAAAUUCGUCUGUGACAAAAGUGCCUGAGGGGGAAGAAAUCAAGAAUCAGUGAAAGUAAAGUAUUCUUUAUCUGUAAACUCACUUUCCUCUCAAAAGACCUGGUUCUGCUGCAGGUGGGAAGUGGUUGCUGCAUUGUGAAAACAAUUUGGCUAAGGAAAAAAGAGGAGACUACCAGAAACAGUCCAAGAGAAGGCUAGGCGGAAACAGACCCACAACAGACAGAAAGGAACAGAGAGGUCUAAAAUGCUCAUGGACAGCCAGCCAGUGGCUUCGGGAGACACACAUUAAGACAGUCACAUAUUUCCAUCAGGGAAGAGUCCUGAGGAACCACUGAUUUUGCCUGAGGUGACUGUUCUUUCUUGUUGCCUGGAGAACUGCUGCAGUUUUUUGAUGGAAACAGAGCCUGCAUAACAUCUAAUUGCUGAUACUGAAUGAAAAUGUGAGCUGAUGGCUGUGAAUAAUCAGAGCUGCAAGAUGAAGGGGGUUAGACCGAGAUCAGUGACCGAGGCAGAUACUAUUUCUCAUUCUUCGGAGUCCCUGUAGGUCAACGGCCUCAUCACACUGCCCGGGUUCAAAUUCAGCUCUGUAACUCAGCAGCUGGGAGACCCUGGAACUUGUUUGUGGUGGAAAGACGAAAAGAAAAGCAAAGACCCAGUACCAGAAGGAACCAUUGUCUAAUGAGAGUUUUCAUCGACUCAGCACUAUCUAUAUGUCAGUCCUCCACAUGUGAAGUCCCAGUGAAUCUUCAACAAUCCUUAGAGGUUCUGGCUUCCUCUGUCCUGCCUGGGAGAGGAAGGUGGGCAGAAAGUAGACAAAGUUGGACAGGAGAGGGAGCUACCGUCACUCCUGGUCUCAUCUGCGUCUGAAGAAUGGUUACCCUGAGGGGUGGAUAUUGUUCUCCUCCUUAUAUUAUUCAUACUGUUUAUGAGACUGCAUAAAAUAAGUAAUAUUAUCUAAUAACUAACACAAGAUAGCUACCCAUUGCUGCUAAAGACUGUCUGCAGUGCUCCUCAUUCGUUGCAUCUGAUCCGUAGAACAACCCUGCAAAGUACAGAU